ACGGGUGAGUAAUAUAUCGGAACGUGCCCAGUCGUGGGGGAUAACGUAGCGAAAGCUACGCUAAUACCGCAUACGAUCUACGGAUGAAAGCGGGGGAUCGCAAGACCUCGCGCGAUUGGAGCGGCCGAUAUCAGAUUAGCUAGUUGGUGGGGUAAAAGCCCACCAAGGCGACGAUCUGUAGCUGGUCUGAGAGGACGACCAGCCACACUGGAACUGAGGCACGGUCCAGACUCCUACGGGAGGCAGCAGUGGGGAAUUUUGGACAAUGGGCGCAAGCCUGAUCCAGCAAUGCCGCGUGCAGGAUGAAGGCCUUCGGGUUGUAAACUGCUUUUGUACGGAACGAAACGGCUCUUUCUAAUAAAGAGAGCUAAUGACGGUACCGUAAGAAUAAGCACCGGCUAACUACGUGCC
rnacentral:rRNA from 1 species